AAGUAGAAAGCAGUCAUUUAAAUUCCUCGCUGCGUCUCCAGGAAAUUUAACCGAAGCUGUGUACAGAUUUUACUGCAAUAUUUCCUACUGUGGUCUACUUCAUGCAGUCACCCAAAACGGACUUUUGUCGGAGAAUAAAGAAAGACUUAUCAUU